rnacentral:rRNA from 1 species
ACAUAUCAAUAAGCGGAGGAAAAGAAACCAACAGGGAUUACCUCAGUAACGGCGAGUGAAGCGGUAAAAGCUCAAAUUUGAAAUCUUCGGAAUUGUAAUUUGAUGGAUAAAAUUGCCACGGACAAAAGUUCACUGGAAAGUGACGCCGUAGAGGGUGAUAGCCCCGUUUACGUCCACCGGCACUAUAAUUUUAUUCCAAAGAGUCGGGUUGUUUGGGAAUGCAGCUCAAAGUGGGUGGUAAAUUCCAUCUAAAGCUAAAUAUUGACGAGAGACCGAUAGCGAACAAGUACAGUGAUGGAAAGAUGAAAAGAACUUUGAAAAGAGAGUGAAACAGUACGUGAAAUUGUUGAAAGGGAAGGGGAGGGAAGAUGUUAAAGGGACUCCUUCUUUGUAGGGAUCCCCGCCAAAAAGUCUUUCCUCUCGCCCGUCUUGAAACACGGACCAAGGAGUCUAACGAUUAUGCAAGUAUUUGAGUCAACCCCCAAAUGCGUAAUGAAAGUAAUUGGUCAACCCUACCCUCCUGUCCUAAAGGGCGGGAGAGGAAGCAUAAUUAUUAGGACCCGAAAGAUGGUGAACUAUACCUGGAUAGGGUGAAGCCAGAGGAAACUCUGGUGGAAGCUCGUAGCGGUUCUGACGUGCAAAUCGAUCGUCAAAUCUGGGUAUAGGGGCGAAAGACUAAUCGAACCAUCUAGUAGCUGGUUCCUGCCGAA